rnacentral:tRNA from 1 species
ACUCUCGUAGCUUAGUGGUCAGAGCAUUGGAAAUCCCGGGUUCGAUUCCCGGCAAGGGUG